rnacentral:rRNA from 1 species
GAAUGCUGACAUAAGUAACGAUAAAGCGGGUGAAAAGCCCGCUCGCCGGAAGACCAAGGGUUCCUGUCCAACGUUAAUCGGGGCAGGGUGAGUCGACCCCUAAGGCGAGGCCGAAAGGCGUAGUCGAUGGGAAACGGGUUAAUAUUCCCGUACUUGGUGUUACUGCGAAGGGGGGACGGAGAAGGCUAUGUUGGCCGGGCGACGGUUGUCCCGGUUUAAGCGUGUAGGUGUGUGUUCCAGGUAAAUCCGGUUCACUUUAACACUGAGGCGUGACGACGAGGCACUACGGUGCUGAAGCAACAAAUGCCCUGCUUCCAGGAAAAGCCUCUAAGCAUCAGGUAACAUCAAAUCGUACCCCAAACCGACACAGGUGGUCAGGUAGAGAAUACCAAGGCGCUUGAGAGAACUCGGGUGAAGGAACUAGGCAAAAUGGUGCCGUAACUUCGGGAGAAGGCACGCUGACACGUAGGUGAAGUGAUUUACUCAUGGAGCUGAAGUCAGUCGAAGAUACCAGCUGGCUGCAACUGUUUAUUAAAAACACAGCACUGUGCAAACACGAAAGUGGACGUAUACGGUGUGACGCCUGCCCGGUGCCGGAAGGUUAAUUGAUGGGGUCAGCGCAAGCGAAGCUCCUGAUCGAAGCCCCGGUAAACGGCGGCCGUAACUAUAACGGUCCUAAGGUAGCGAAAUUCCUUGUCGGGUAAGUUCCGACCUGCACGAAUGGCGUAAUGAUGGCCAGGCUGUCUCCACCCGAGACUCAGUGAAAUUGAACUCGCUGUGAAGAUGCAGUGUACCCGCGGCAAGACGGAAAGACCCCGUGAACCUUUACUAUAGCUUGACACUGAACAUUGAGCCUUGAUGUGUAGGAUAGGUGGGAGGCUUUGAAGUGUGGACGCCAGUCUGCAUGGAGCCGACCUUGAAAUACCACCCUUUAAUGUUUGAUGUUCUAACGUGGACCCGUGAUCCGGGUUGCGGACAGUGUCUGGUGGGUAGUUUGACUGGGGCGGUCUCCUCCUAAAGAGUAACGGAGGAGCACGAAGGUUGGCUAAUCCUGGUCGGACAUCAGGAGGUUAGUGCAAUGGCAUAAGCCAGCUUGACUGCGAGCGUGACGGCGCGAGCAGGUGCGAAAGCAGGUCAUAGUGAUCCGGUGGUUCUGAAUGGAAGGGCCAUCGCUCAACGGAUAAAAGGUACUCCGGGGAUAACAGGCUGAUACCGCCCAAGAGUUCAUAUCGACGGCGGUGUUUGGCACCUCGAUGUCGGCUCAUCACAUCCUGGGGCUGAAGUAGGUCCCAAGGGUAUGGCUGUUCGCCAUUUAAAGUGGUACGCGAGCUGGGUUUAGAACGUCGUGAGACAGUUCGGUCCCUAUCUGCCGUGGGCGCUGGAGAACUGAGGGGGGCUGCUCCUAGUACGAGAGGACCGGAGUGGACGCAUCACUGGUGUUCGGGUUGUCAUGCCAAUGGCACUGCCCGGUAGCUAAAUGCGGAAGAGAUAAGUGCUGAAAGCAUCUAAGCACGAAACUUGCCCCGAGAUGAGUUCUCCCUGAGACUUUAGGUCUCCUGAAGGAACGUUGAAGACGACGACGUUGAUAGGCCGGGUGUGUAAGCGCAGCGAUGCGUUGAGCUAACCGGUACUAAUGAACCGUGAGGCUUAACCUU